rnacentral:rRNA from 1 species
AUUGAACGCUGGCGGCAGGCCUAACACAUGCAAGUCGAACGAGUGGCGGACGGGUGAGUAAUGUCUGGGAAACUGCCCGAUGGAGGGGGAUCACUACUGGAAACGAUAGCUAAUACCGCAUACUGUGCGAUGGACCUGCGUUGUAUUAGCUAGUUGGUGAGGUAAAGGCUCACCAAGGCGACGAUACAUAGCUGGUCUGAGAGGAUGACCAGCCACACUGGGACUGAGACACGGUCCAGACUGCUACGGGAGGCAGCAGUGGGGAAUAUUGCACAAUGGGCGCAAGCCUGAUGCAGCCAUGCCGCGUGUAUGAAGAAGGCCUUCGGGUUGUAAAGUACUUUCAGCGGGGAGGCGUUACCCGCAGAAGAAGCACCGGCUAACUCCGUGCCAGCAGCCGCGGUAAUUC